ensembl:lncRNA
AGAAAUUCAUUUUUUUUGUCAGUUCUAUUACAUGAUGUAUCUAGGAAAAUGAAUGUUCUUAUAUGUGUUUUUUGUUUGUUUUUGUUUUGUUUUGCUUUUUUGCUUUUCUUGUUAAAGCUAUUUCAGUGUAAUGUUUGGGGUUUUUUUAAAUGUGAAUUUCUAGUUUGGGACUCCAUAUAAAGUUACCAAAUUUGCCAACUUUUUAAAAAGUGGGUGUGGAGAUCAGGGAAGCCGGGGUGGAGAGAGAGCCUGUGUAGCGCAGGCUGGCCUCAAAAUGGUCAUUUUUCUGUAUUCAUCUCCCACAUGCUAGGAUUACUGGUAUAUACCACCAUAUCCAGCUAGUUAACAGCUUGCAGACAGUAUUUAUGGAUUUCCCACUUUCAGACUUGAGGGCAGGGGCAGUCCUGACACACUGUAGACGUUAGACUUUGCAGGGGAUACUCGUUCCUUUCCAAGGGGAUUUCCUCCAGAUCCCACUGAAGCACACUCCUGGCUGGUUAUGAAUAGUUGGAACUACUUUUUAGAGAGCAUACUAAAUACUGUGGUUAUAUUAUUUUGUUUAAUCUUCAAAAAAAAAAAAAAACCAAAAAACAAAACAAAACUGAGAGAAGGGACUGUCCAUGUUUUAUAAACUUUCAGAGGGUAAAGUCUGUCUUUUGCUAGGCACAUCAGGUAUCACACUGUGACAAGACUGACAUCUAAGUUCAGUGACACUGCACUACUACUCGUUGGCUGGCGUUUGUGCCCCAUGUUGAUCCUACUAAGAGACUUCAGGAAGCAGGGAGAGGGAGGGAAGGACAGUCCUUGUGGCGGCCGCCCUGGGACUGACUUCCCGAAGCCCAUAUGUCCUUUGUUUUAUCCGGAGCUUUAUCUCACUGCUCUUAAAAGCAACAGAAGACUGUACGGCUUCAUGCUUGAAUUCCGUGUCAGCGUAUUAAAUCUGAACUUUUUCAUUAAAUUAUAAUUCUUCCCCAUCUUCAAAGAACAAUACAUAUAGCAUUGUUGAAUUUUUAACAAAAAUAAUUGAUAACAUAUACUGGUACUGUAUACAUACAUAUAAUAGGUACUGGUAUUACAGAGAAAUAUUAGAACAAAAUAUUGUCAUACAGUGUGGUUAUUAAGAGAGCCAAGAGUGUCGUAAGUAUACAUUCCUAUAGAACUACAGUUUACAACAAAAUGGAUUAGAUUCCUAUUAGUAAAACUAUCUAUAUGGUCUUUUUGGUUGGUAUGCAAGGGUGAACUGUUUAAUGAAGUAACUUCAUUAAACAGUUCAUUCUGUUUAAAUGAACUCUAAAAACACAGUAUUCACUAAAAUAGAAUUACGGUUGGGAAAUUUCAUGAACAAAAAUAAAGCCCUCUUGAGGACCAGUGGCUGAAACGUAGUAACUGGGCAGUGUCUCUUCUAUAGAAGUGCAGAUGGAGAAACAGAUAGCAGCCAAGCAUCUAAGUUCUUAAUACUUAACUAGAGACAAGAAGAUCACCGUUGCAGAGUGAGAAAAACUGAAGUCAGCGGCCUUGCCUCAUCCUUCGUUUCUCCUGGCCAUUGCCCCUCUCCUUGAGGUCACUGUUUCAGUUGAGACUCUAUGUCCUGUAUGUCAAGGUCAGACUUGGCUGUUUCUCCACAUUUAGGAUGCAAUGCAUCAUUCCGUUAGGGAGUUGGGGGUCUUAAUGGCCUUCAGGUCUCGUCAGCUCUCUGUCAGAGAUGCUUUGAAUUGUAUAGAAAGGUAGCAAGUUUUUGGCUAGCCCUCGGAUGGAAUGGUUGUUAAGCAGCAGUAAGAUCAUUAGCUCCCUACUCUGUUUUUCCUGAGAGGGAGGAACUGCUGUGGUGCCUCAUAGGUGUAAUGUUUGAGUGAAGACUGAAGAGCUGAAGGUCGGGGAGGGAAACUGGAAGAGGCCCUUAUUCCUGAGAGUUGGUACCGAUAGAGAAUUGUCAGGAGGGACUUGGACAAAAUGGCUGAUAGGAAGGUUGGAAGUUGUCACCCUCUUUAUUUGUUUUUUUGCUCCUAAGGGGAUACCAAAGAAGGUGAGUUUAUGCUGCAGGUCCAGCUGUACAUCUGUUUGUUUUGUUUUGUUUUGUUUUUCAAGACAGGGUUUUUCUGUGGAGUUCUGGCUGUCCUGUGUCUGGCUCUGUAGACCAGGCUAGCCUCAACUCAGAUCUGCCUGCCUCUGCCUUGAGUUGCUGGAAUUAAUAAAGGUGUACACCACUGCCUGGCCCUACUGUACAUUUUAAAAUGGAAUUCACAAUUUACCUCUCGGUGUUUGUGAUUUUCUGCAUUCUCCAAAUUUUGAAAGACCACUCACAAAAGAUUAGAAAAAAGGGGGACUUUUACAGAAAUCAUUAAUAUAUGUGAGUUAUUAAAUAGCCUUUGGUAUAAUAGUACUGGUGAUUAGUAUGGAGAAAAAAAUGAAAAAACUACAUGUCAAUUACUGUGAAAUAUUUUUAGCUAUUUCCUUUUCUUGUGCUUGUUCCUAAAAACAUAGUUGGUUAUGUGUUAUUCUCAAGCUGCUCUGCCUCUAAAGAGCUGAGGAAGAAACUGUGGUUUGGGCUAUCUUUAUGAUAAUGGCCCUUUCCUCUUCAUAAUAUUGCCAAGUAUGGUCAGUUCCACACAAUUGCUCUUAACCUGUGGUAUUAGCAAAUCAUGUAGGUGCUGGUAACAGAUCCCGGAUACACUCAGCACAGGGACAUAUGGGACGUAAGAGCCAUUGCUGUGAGAGGUUAGCUAUCAGCUAACUACAUGCUAACAAGGAGCCGAUGUCACGACGUGGGAACUUGGUGCUGAAGAUGGGAACUCAAAGCUUUGUGCAUUUCCUGAUGCUGUGAUAAAAAUGUGAAUAAAACUGUUC